rnacentral:rRNA from 1 species
AGCGAACGCUGGCGGCAGGCCUAACACAUGCGAGUCGAACGAAGUCUUCGGACUUAGUGGCGGACGGGUGCGUAACACGUGGGAACGUACCUUUUGGUUCGGAACAACUCAGGGCAACUUGAGCUAAUACCGGAUGAGCCCUUAGGGGGAAAGAUUUAUCGCCGAAAGAGCGGCCCGCGUUAGAUUAGCUAGUUGGUCAGGUAAAGGCUCACCAAGGCUACGAUCUAUAGCUGGUCUGAGAGGAUGAUCAGCCACACUGGGACUGAGACACGGCCCAGACUCCUACGGGAGGCAGCAGUGGGGAAUCUUGCGCAAUGGGCGAAAGCCUGACGCAGCCAUGCCGCGUGAAUGAUGAAGGUCUUAGGAUUGUAAAAUUCUUUUACCAGGGACGAUAAUGACGGUACCUGGAGAAAAAGCCCCGGCUAACUUCGUGCCAGCAGCCGCCGUAAGAC